rnacentral:rRNA from 1 species
GACGGAGGGUGCUAGCGUUGUUCGGAAUUACUGGGCGUAAAGGGCGCGUAGGCGGCUACGGCAGUCGGGUGUGAAAGCCCGGGGCUCAACCCCGGAACGGCACCCGAUACUCUGUGGCUCGAGACCGGGAGAGGUGGUGGAAUACCCAGUGUAGAGGUGAAAUUCGUAGAUAUCGGGAGGAACACCAGUGGCGAAGGCGACUACCUGGCCUGUUCUUGACGCUGAGGCGCGAAAGCUAGGGGAGCAAACGGG